AAACUUUCAACAACGGAUCUCUUGGUUCUGGAUCGAUGAAGAACGCAGCGAAAUGCGAUAAGUAAUGUGAAUUGCAGAAUUCAGUGAAUCAUCGAAUCUUUGAACGCACAUUGCGCCCUCUGGUAUUCCGGGGGGCAUGCCUGUUCGAGCGUCAUU
rnacentral:rRNA from 1 species